GGAGUUCGGUCCGUGUCUCAGUACCGAUGUGUGGGACCUUCCUUUUAGAACCCAUAGGCAUCAUCGUCUUGGUGGGCCGUUGCCCCGCCAACUAACUAAUGCCACGCAUGCCCAUCCAUCACCUAUGAAUAUUUAAUCAAAUGGGGAUGCCCCCUCUUGAUGCCAUCGGAGUUUAAUCGUCCUUUCGGUCUGCUAUCUCCGUGUGAUGGGCAGGUUGCAUACGCGUUACUCACCCGUCCGCCGCUCGCCACCAAAAUAUUGCUACUUCGUGCUGCCGCUCGACUUGCAUGUGUUAGGCCUGCCGCUAGCGUUAUCCUGAGCCAGGAUCAAACUACU
rnacentral:rRNA from 1 species